UACGGAGGGUGCAAACGUUGCUCGGAAUCAUUGGGCGUAAAGCGCACGUAGGCGGCUUCUUAAGUCGGGUGUGAAAGCCCUCGGCUCAACCGAGGAAGUGCAUUCGAAACUGAGGGGCUUGAAUACUGGAGAGGAUGGCGGAAUUCCCGGUGUAGAGGUGAAAUUCGUAGAUAUCGGGAGGAACACCAGCGGCGAAGGCGGCCAUCUGGACAGAUAUUGACGCUGAGGUGCGAAGGCGUGGGGAGCAAACAGG
rnacentral:rRNA from 1 species